rnacentral:rRNA from 1 species
CACUAUCGUUAACUGAAUACAUAGGUUAACGAGGCGAACCGGGGGAACUGAAACAUCUAAGUACCCCGAGGAAAAGAAAUCAACCGAGAUUCCCCCAGUAGCGGCGAGCGAACGGGGAGCAGCCCAGAGUCUGAAUCAGCUUGUGUGUUAGUGGAACGGUCUGGAAAGUCCGACGGUACAGGGUGAUAGUCCCGUACACCAAAAUGCACAGGUUGUGAACUCGAAGAGUAGGGCGGGACACGUGGUAUCCUGUCUGAAUAUGGGGGGACCAUCCUCCAAGGCUAAAUACUCCUGACUGACCGAUAGUGAACCAGUACCGUGAGGGAAAGGCGAAAAGAACCCCGGCGAGGGGAGUGAAAAAGAACCUGAAACCGUGUACGUACAAGCAGUGGGAGCACCUUCGGGUGUGACUGCGUACCUUUUGUAUAAUGGGUCAGCGACUUAUAUUCUGUAGCAAGGUUAACCGUAUAGGGGAGCCGCAGGGAAACCGAGUCUUAACUGGGCGUUAAGUUGCAGGGUAUAGACCCGAAACCCGGUGAUCUAGCCAUGGGCAGGUUGAAGGUUGGGUAACACUAACUGGAGGACCGAACCGACUAAUGUUGAAAAAUUAGCGGAUGACUUGUGGCUGGGGGUGAAAGGCCAAUCAAACCGGGAGAUAGCUGGUUCUCCCCGAAAGCUAUUUAGGUAGCGCCUCGUGAACUCAUCUUCGGGGGUAGAGCACUGUUUCGGCUAGGGGGUCAUCCCGACUUACCAACCCGAUGCAAACUACGAAUACCGAAGAAUGUUAUCACGGGAGACACACGGCGGGUGCUAACGUCCGUCGUGAAGAGGGAAACAACCCAGACCGCCAGCUAAGGUCCCAAAGUCAUGGUUAAGUGGGAAACGAUGUGGGAAGGCACAGACAGCCAGGAUGUUGGCUUAGAAGCAGCCAUCAUUUAAAGAAAGCGUAAUAGCUCACUGGUCGAGUCGGCCUGCGCGGAAGAUGUAACGGGGCUAAACCAUGCACCGAAGCUGCGGCAGCGACACUAUGUGUUGUUGGGUAGGGGAGCGUUCUGUAAGCCUGCGAAGGUGNAAUAGCUCACUGGUCGAGUCGGCCUGCGCGGAAGAUGUAACGGGGCUAAACCAUGCACCGAAGCUGCGGCAGCGACACUAUGUGUUGUUGGGUAGGGGAGCGUUCUGUAAGCCUGCGAAGGUGACCUGUGAGGGUUGCUGGAGGUAUCAGAAGUGCGAAUGCUGACAUAAGUAACGAUAAAGCGGGUGAAAAGCCCGCUCGCCGGAAGACCAAGGGUUCCUGUCCAACGUUAAUCGGGGCAGGGUGAGUCGACCCCUAAGGCGAGGCCGAAAGGCGUAGUCGAUGGGAAACAGGUUAAUAUUCCUGUACUUGGNAGCGGGUGAAAAGCCCGCUCGCCGGAAGACCAAGGGUUCCUGUCCAACGUUAAUCGGGGCAGGGUGAGUCGACCCCUAAGGCGAGGCCGAAAGGCGUAGUCGAUGGGAAACAGGUUAAUAUUCCUGUACUUGGUGUUACUGCGAAGGGGGGACGGAGAAGGCUAUGUUAGCCGGGCGACGGUUGUCCCGGUUUAAGCAUGUAGGCUGGUUAUCCAGGCAAAUCCGGAUAAUCAAGGCUGAGGUGUGAUGACGAGGCACUACGGUGCUGAAGUAACAAAUGCCCUGCUUCCAGGAAAAGCCUCUAAGCAUCAGGUAACAUCAAAUCGUACCCCAAACCGACACAGGUGGUCAGGUAGAGAAUACCAAGGCGCUUGAGAGAACUCGGGUGAAGGAACUAGGCAAAAUGGUGCCGUAACUUCGGGAGAAGGCACGCUGGUGUGUAGGUGAAGUCCCUGCGGAUGGAGCUGAGACCAGUCGAAGAUACCAGCUGGCUGCAACUGUUUAUUAAAAACACAGCACUGUGCAAACACGAAAGUGGACGUAUACGGUGUGACGCCUGCCCGGUGCCGGAAGGUUAAUUGAUGGGGUUAUCCGUAAGGAGAAGCUCUUGAUCGAAGCCCCGGUAAACGGCGGCCGUAACUAUAACGGUCCUAAGGUAGCGAAAUUCCUUGUCGGGUAAGUUCCGACCUGCACGAAUGGCGUAAUGAUGGCCAGGCUGUCUCCACCCGAGACUCAGUGAAAUUGAACUCGCUGUGAAGAUGCAGUGUACCCGCGGCAAGACGGAAAGACCCCGUGAACCUUUACUAUAGCUUGACACUGAACAUUGAGCCUUGAUGUGUAGGAUAGGUGGGAGGCUUUGAAGCGUGGACGCCAGUCUGCGUGGAGCCAACCUUGAAAUACCACCCUUUAAUGUUUGAUGUUCUAACGUUGGCCCCUGACCGGGGUUGCGGACAGUGUCUGGUGGGUAGUUUGACUGGGGCGGUCUCCUCCCAAAGCGUAACGGAGGAGCACGAAGGUUAGCUAAUCCUGGUCGGACAUCAGGAGGUUAGUGCAAUGGCAUAAGCUAGCUUGACUGCGAGCGUGACGGCGCGAGCAGGUGCGAAAGCAGGUCAUAGUGAUCCGGUGGUUCUGAAUGGAAGGGCCAUCGCUCAACGGAUAAAAGGUACUCCGGGGAUAACAGGCUGAUACCGCCCAAGAGUUCAUAUCGACGGCGGUGUUUGGCACCUCGAUGUCGGCUCAUCACAUCCUGGGGCUGAAGUAGGUCCCAAGGGUAUGGCUGUUCGCCAUUUAAAGUGGUACGCGAGCUGGGUUUAGAACGUCGUGAGACAGUUCGGUCCCUAUCUGCCGUGGGCGCUGGAGAAUUGAGGGGGGCUGCUCCUAGUACGAGAGGACCGGAGUGGACGCAUCACUGGUGUUCGGGUUGUCAUGCCAAUGGCACUGCCCGGUAGCUAAAUGCGGAAGAGAUAAGUGCUGAAAGCAUCUAAGCACGAAACUUGCCCCGAGAUGAGUUCUCCCUGAGACUUUAAGUCUCCUGAAGGAACGUU